rnacentral:rRNA from 1 species
UGAAUACGAGAUGCUACGGCGUCGAAGCAGUCUAUGUCAUACUUCCAAGAAAAGCUUGCACUGUCAUAAACAAAUAAUGCCUGUACCAUAACCGACACAGGUGGGUAGGUAGAGUAUACUAAGGGGCGCGAGAUAACUCUCUCUAAGGAACUCGGCAAAAUGACUCCGUAACUUCGGGAGAAGGAGUGCCUUAUUUAUAAGGUUGCAAUAACAAGAUCCAAGCAACUGUUUACCAAAAACACAGGUCUCCGCUAAGUCGUAAGACGAUGUAUGGGGGCUGACGCCUGCCCAGUGCCAGAAGGUUAAAGAAGUUGGUUAGCAUCCGCGAAGCUGAUAACUGAAGCCCUGGUGAACGGCGGCCGUAACUAUAACGGUCCUAAGGUAGCGAAAUUCCUUGUCGGGUAAGUUCCACCCGCACGAAAGGCGUAAUGAUUUGGAUACUGUCUCGGAGAGGGGCUCGGUGAAAUAGACUUGUCUGUGAAGAUGCGGACUACCUGCACCAGGACAGAAAGACCCUAUGAAGCUUUACUGUAACCUGAAAUUGAAAUUGGACUUUACUUGCGCAGUAUAGGUGGGAGGCGUUGAGAAUAUUCUUGCGGGAUUAUUGGAGCCAUCAGUGAGAUACCACUCUUGUAAUGUUAGAUUUCUAACUUUGUAUCAUUAUCUGGUCAAAGAACAGUUUCAGGCGGGCAGUUUGACUGGGGCGGUCGCCUCCUAAACGGUAACGGAGGCGCACAAAGGUUUCCUCUGAACGGGUAGAAAUCGUAUCUAGAGUGUAAAGGCAUAAGGAAGCUUGACUGUGAGACCUACAAGUCGAGCAGGGACGAAAGUCGGUCUUAGUGAUCUGACGGUGCUGAGUGGAAAGGCCGUCACUCAACGGAUAAAAGUUACUCUAAGGAUAACAGGCUGAUCUCCCCCAAGAGUUCACAUCGACGGGGAGGUUUGGCACCUCGAUGUCGGCUCAUCGCAUCCUGGGGCGGUAGUACGUCCCAAGGGUUGGGCUGUUCGCCCAUGAAAGCGGUACGCGAGCUGGGUUCAGAACGUCGUGAGACAGUUCGGUCCAUAUCCGGUGUAGGCGUUAGAAUAUUGAGAGGAGCCUUCUUUAGUACGAGAGGACCGAGAAGGACAUACCUCUGGUGUACCAGUUAUCGUGCCAACGGUAAACGCUGGGUAGCUAUGUGUGGAGUGGAUAACCGCUGAAAGCAUCUAAGUGGGAAGCCCACCUCAAGAUAAG